rnacentral:rRNA from 1 species
CCUACGGGAGGCAGCAGUGAGGGAUAUUGGUCAAUGGCCGGAAGGCUGAACCAGCCAUGCCGCGUGAAGGUCAGUGCCCUAUGGGCGUUAAACUUCUUUUGUGCGGGAGCAAUAAUGGUCACGUGUGGCCAGACGAGAGUACCGUACGAAUACGCGUCGGCUAACUCCGUGCCAGCAGCCGCGGUAAUACGGGGGAUGCAAGCGGUAUCCGGAUUGAUGGGGGUUAAAGGGUGCAUAGGCUGUGAGUGAAGUCAGCGGUGAAAUGCCCCCGCUCAACGGGGUGAAGUGCCAUUGAUACUGCAUGGCUGGAAUGCGGAUGCCGUGGGAGGAAUGUGUGGUGUAGCGGUGAAAUGCAUAGAUAUCACACAGAACACCGAUUGCGAAGGCAUCUCACGAAUCCGCGAUUGACGCUGAUGCACGAAAGCGUGGGUAUCAAACAGGAUUAGAUACCCUGGUAGUC